GGUUCCAUAGCGUAGUGGUUAGCAUGUCUGCUUCACACAUACAAGGUCCUGGGUUCAUGCCCCAGUGGAGCCA
rnacentral:tRNA from 1 species